UACAGAGGUCCCGAGCGUUGUUCGGAAUUACUGGGCGUAAAGGGCUCGUAGGCGGCCAACUAAGUCCGACGUGAAAUCCCCAGGCUCAACCUGGGAACUGCGUCGGAUACUGGAUGGCUUGAAUUCGGGAGAGGGAUGCAGAAUUCCAGGGUGUAGCGGUGAAAUGCGUAGAUAUCUGGAGGAAUACCGGUGGCGAAGGCGGCAUCCUGGACCGACAUUGACGCUGAGGAGCGAAAGCUAGGGGAGCAAACGGG
rnacentral:rRNA from 1 species